rnacentral:sRNA from 1 species
GGGUGUCCUCUUCCUCCCUCACCGCCCCAUGUGCCUCCCUCCCGAAGCUGCGCGCUUGGUUGAAGAGGACGACCAUCCCAGAUAGAGGAGGACUGGUCUUUGGUCAAGGGUAUACGAGUAGCUGCACUCCUCUGCUGGAACCUCCAAACAAGCUCUGAGGUCUUUUCUACCUCUGACAGUAUACGAGGCUCUAACAUUGUGUUAAGAUAAUUACUUGGGAGGUCAUU